UUCAAGACAACUCAGAUUUUUCAUUUUUUAUUUGUUAAGUAUUGUGUUGAUUUUUUUAUUUUAUAACUAACAUUUUUUUAUUUUUUUCUUCAACAUUCAUUGAGGUAUUUAAGAAAUUUAUUUUAUUUAUUUAUUUUUCAGAUUUAAUAUAUAUUAGAUUGUUGAUUGUUUUUAUUGUAGGAUAGUUAAUCCAAAAUUAAUUUAUUUAUAUAUUUAAAUAGUUUUUUUUAAACAAAAUAUUAUUUUUCAUAAUAUAAUUUUUAUAAUAUAUUUUUUAUAAUAU
rnacentral:lncRNA from 1 species